AGUGAACGCUGGCGGUAGGCCUAACACAUGCAAGUCGAACGGCAGCACAGUAAGAGCUUGCUCUUACGGGUGGCGAGUGGCGGACGGGUGAGGAAUACAUCGGAAUCUACUUUUUCGUGGGGGAUAACGUAGGGAAACUUACGCUAAUACCGCAUACGACCUACGGGUGAAAGCAGGGGAUCUUCGGACCUUGCGCGAUUGAAUGAGCCGAGGUCGGAUUGGCUAGUUGGCGGGGUAAAGGCCCACCAAGGCGACGAUCCGUAGCUGGUCGGAGAGGAUGAUCAGCCACACUGGAACUGAGACACGGUCCAGACUCCUACGGGAGGCAGCAGUGGGGAAUAUUGGACAAUGGGCGCAAGCCUGAUCCAGCCAUACCGCGUGGGUGAAGAAGGCCUUCGGGUUGUAAAGACCUUUUGUUGGGAAAGAAAAGCAGCAGGUUAAUACCCCGCUGUUCUGACGGUACCCAAAGAAUAAGCACCGGCUAACUUCGUG
rnacentral:rRNA from 1 species